AAGGGUAUGGCUGUUCGCCAUUUAAAGUGGUACGCGAGCUGGGUUCAGAACGUCGUGAGACAGUUCGGUCCCUAUCUGCCAUGGGCGUUGGAGAUUUGAGAGGGGCUGCUCCUAGUACGAGAGGACCGGAGUGGACGAACCUCUGGUGUUCCGGUUGUCACGCCAGUGGCAUUGCCGGGUAGCUAUGUUCGGAAGCGAUAACCGCUGAAAGCAUCUAAGCGGGAAGCGCGCCUCAAGAUGAGAUCUCCCGGGGCACAAGCCCCCUGAAGGAACCAUGUAGACUACGUGGUUGAUAGGUCAGGUGUGUAAGUACAGCAAUGUAUUGAGCUAACUGAUACUAAUGAUCCGUGCGGCUUGACCAUAUAACCUCA
rnacentral:rRNA from 2 species